rnacentral:lncRNA from 1 species
GCCCAUUCUCUAGGACCAUGUCCUUGCUGCUCCCAGCUACCUUUCCUGCUUCUCCUAGGCUCAGACUUGACUGUUUUGGACUUGGGGCUGAGCUCCCUGCUGUGCUGCAGGAACAGAACUGGAGCUGCUUCCUGAAGCACCCAGGGACCCUCAAGGCAGCCGGGAUGCUUGAUUCCUGCCUAGAUGUUUUUAAUGAGCUGCGAGUCUGUGACCAGGAGACACUAAAAAGCAAUUGCAUUAAAU